rnacentral:rRNA from 1 species
AUACGUAGGUGGCAAGCGUUGUCCGGAAUUACUGGGUGUAAAGGGAGCGCAGGCGGGGAUGCAAGUUGGAUGUGAAAUACCGCAGCUUAACUGCGGAGCUGCAUCCAAAACUGUAUUUCUUGAGAGAAGUAGAGGUAGGCGGAAUUCCUAGUGUAGCGGGGAAAUGCGUAGAUAUUAGGAGGAACACCAGUGGCUAAGGCGGCCUACUGGGCUUUAACUGACGCUGAGGCUCGAAAGUGUGGGGAGCAAACAGGAUUAGAUACCCUGGUAGUCCACACUGUAAACGAUGAUUGCUAGGUGUGGGGGGACUGACCCCGUCCGUGCCGGAGUAAACACAAUAAGCAAUCCACCUGGGGAGUACGACCGCAAGGUUGAAACUCAAAGGAAUUGACGGGG